UUUGCUGGACCUUGUUCUCUUUGCAGAUUGAGAAAACGGCCUGUAAAGUCCUUGAGGGGAGGCCUGCUGUAAACACGAGCGUCUUGACUACCGCAUUAUUGCAGACAGCGCUGUGGAGCCUUCACCUUCAAUACAUGGAGCCCCACACACAGCAUCAGGCCAUUUGCUAGAUUGGAUGCCACUUUUGGUGACAGGUCAGGGAAAGACACUGGAUCUGAUGCAGACUGACAGGUCCGUAAAUUUGGUUUCUAAUUUUAUGUAUUUAUUUCUUUUAAAGAAAAGAGGGAGAGAGGGAAUACUCAGAGCCAUGAAAUCAUUAAAACCAAUUCCCUUUCUCUCCCCGAGCCCUCCCUCUCUGGAGUAUGUGUGUGAAACAAUCUUCACAGCUCCUGAGCCCUCCAAUGGUAUCGAUCCAGAUGUGGAAAUUGGUAUUGACUGCUGCUGCUGCUCGGCGCACUUCCCCGGCUUUUAAAGACACAGCGUAUAGGAUACCAUGUGCCCCUGGUGGAGAGGUUUUUACAUGCCCAUAGCUACUUAUCCAUUCCUGAAACCAUCCUGUCUGCGUUCUUGAAGGGUGGGCCAAGCCGGCAGCCUCAGCUGCACUGGAAACCCAGCCCAGGGCUCUUCUGUUUCUCUGUUGCUUCUGCCUACAGACAAGCUCAUCUGCUUCCAGCCCAUUGCAGGAAAAAUCACGUCUUUCCUUCUGGACCACACUGAGCGUGGAGCUGGGUUGCCUUCAGUUCGGUUGAUCUUCCGGUGAUGGCAGCAACUCAUGUAGUGUUUCACCAGGAUGUGUCUGCAGAGAAGAUUUUCCAUUGAGAAAAAUGCAUAGUCGGAGCUGUAUUUUAGAAAGGUCACUGGAGCGGCAUUGUGAAGGACAGGUGGAUUCCAGAGUGAGGAGCUGAGACUGAAGUCAGAGGUUGCUUCUACGAUCAUCGUGUGCGAUAUUGAGACAUAAAAUGUAUUGAUUCAAGUGACAGCCAUGAAGAGAAAAUGGUCACAGCAAACACUACGGUAGCUUGGAUGGCUGGGUAGAUGGUGACCUCACCAGAGGCAAAGGAAUCCAAAAGAGUAGAACAGUUUGCAUAGCCAAUGUGAGGAGUGGGGUAGAGAAAGUGGAGUGAACAGUGAGUUUUCCUUUUAAAAUAUUUCCUUGGGAAUACCUUCGAAGAUUGGAACUGAGAUGUGCAGAAGGCUUGAUCGUACCUUAUUGGACAGUGUAAACAUUGCCCUAAGGGGAUAGGAUCAAGACCUUAAGAGAUGGAGCUAUUCUUUGGUACUAACAACUGAAUUGGUCAUAUAGACAGCAGGGAAUUCAGAAUUUGGUAAAUUGGAACAUGCAUGACCAGUCACUACAUGAGAUCAGUGUCAAGUGGUGGACCCAGGGUUCAGAUGGACAGUUGGACAGCACUAACUGAGGACAGUGGAGAAGCAGCACAUACAGGUGACCGGUAGA